rnacentral:rRNA from 1 species
GACUGACGCUCAGUCACGAAAGCGUGGGGAGCAAAUAGGCUUAGAUACCCUAGUAGUCCACGCCGUAAACGUUGAGGACCUGGUGGCGGGGGCAUACCCCGCCGCCGAAGCUAACGCAAUGAGUCCUCCGCCUGGGUACUACGUUCGCAAGAAUAAAACUUAAAGGAAUUGACGGGGGCCCGCACAAGCAGUGGAGCAUGUGGUUUAAUUCGUGGCUACGCGGAAAACCUUACCUGGGUUUGACAUCCCUGUAAAGGCCCUAGAGAUAGGGAGAUAGUUAUACAGGUGAACGGUGGUGCAUGCCUGUCGUCAGCUCGUGUCGUGAGAUGUUGGGUUAAGUCCCGCAACGAGCGCAACCCCUGCCUUCAGUUGCCAUCAUUCAGUUGGGCACUCUGGAGGGACCGCCGGCGCAAGCCGGAGGAAGAUGGGGAUGACGUCAAGCCCGCACGCCCCUUAUGCCCAGGGCGACACACGUGCUACAAUGGCAGGUACAAAGCGAGGCGACCCCGCGAGGGGAAGCGAAUCGCCCAAAGCCUGUCCCAGUUCGGAUCGGGGUCUGCAAUUCGACCCCGUGAAGCCGGAAUUGCUAGUAAUCGCGGAUCAGCACUGCCGCGGUGAAUACGUUCCCGGGCCUUGUACACACUGCCCGUCACACCAUGAGAGCCGGCAAGGCCCGAAAACGUGAGCCCAACCCGCAAGGGAAGGCAGCGCCUAAGGCAGGGCCGGUGAUUGGGGUUAAGUCGAAACAAGGUAUCCCUUCGAGAACGAGGGGAUG